AACGAACGCUGGCGGCAUGCCUAACACAUGCCAGUCGAACGAUGCCUUCGGGCAUAGUGGCGCACGGGUGCGUAACGCGUGGGAAUCUGCCUUUCGGUUCGGAAUAACUCAGGGAAACUUGAGCUAAUACCGGAUAACGUCGCAAGACCAAAGAUUUAUCACCGAAAGAUGAGCCCGCGUAGGAUUAGCUAGUUGGUGAGGUAAAGGCUCACCAAGGCGACGAUCCUUAGCUGGUCUGAGAGGAUGAUCAGCCACACUGGGACUGAGACACGGCCCAGACUCCUACGGGAGGCAGCAGUGGGGAAUAUUGGACAAUGGGCGAAAGGAUGAUCCAGCAAUGCCGCGUGAGUGAUGAAGGCCUUAGGGUUGUAAAGCUCUUUUACCCGGGAAGAUAAUGACGGUACCGGGAGAAUAAGCCCCGGCUAACUCCGUG
rnacentral:rRNA from 1 species